AUUGAACGCUGGCGGCAGGCCUAACACAUGCAAGUCGAGCGGAUGAAGGGAGCUUGCUCCUGGAUUCAGCGGCGGACGGGUGAGUAAUGCCUAGGAAUCUGCCUGGUAGUUGGGGAUAACGUCCGUAAACGGGCGCUAAUACCGCAUACGUCCUGAGGGUGAAAGUGGGGGAUCUUCGGACCUCACGCUAUCUGAUGUGCCUAGGUCGGAUUAGCUAGUUGGUGGGGUAAAGGCCUACCAAGGCGACGAUCCGUAACUGGUCUGAGAGGAUGAUCAGUCACACUGGAACUGAGACACGGUCCAGACUACUACGGGAGGAAGCAGUGGGGAAUAUUGGACAAUGGGCGAAAGCAUGAUCCAGCCAUGCCGCGUGUGUGAAGAAGGUCUUCGGAUUGUAAAGCACUUUAAGUUGGGAGGAAGGGAAGUAAGUUAAUACCUUGCUGUUUUGACGUUACCAACAGAAUAAGCACCGGCUAACUUCGUG
rnacentral:rRNA from 1 species